AUUCAAUAUUUUUACUACCCAAUUUCUAAAUUGAUAUCAAAAAUAAAUACAUUUUUAGCAAGCAAAAGAAUUAUUCAUCAUUGGUUCUAAGUACCAUAAUUCCCUUAAUUAACUGACAAGUAUCAGCUAUUGAUUUCUCCUUCUUUAUGCAAAUAAUUUAUCAUCUUUGUCAUCUCUUUUCUUAUUUUUUCCACAGGGUCAAGGGGGGAACUUUCGGGUCCCUGGAGACACUUCUGGGGCACAUUUGGGGCAGUUUUGGGUCUGGGGAGGGAAUUCAGAAAGAACUUGAGGGUCUGGAGGACACUUGGGGGAGACGGGCGGGCCCUUGUGGGACUGGAACGGGGCCCUCUGGGGGACAGGGGGUGAUGGAAGUUCUAGGCACGGGUAUCAUACGGUUUAAUGGGGCCGCGGAGCAUCACGGGAGUUCUGGGCACAGCUGCAAUGGCUCUCGGAGGAACUCCGGAAAUGACGGGAGAUGAAGUCCCGGGUGGAAUAGCGCUGGGCAUGCGCCAUGGAGCAUGAUGGGAGCUGUAGUCCUGGAAGUGACUCGAAUACCAUGUUUGGGGGUCUGGGAAAGCUCUUGGGGGACACUUUUGCGUCCGAGCCGCGACUUGAGGUCCUCGGGGGAACUUAAACAGUUCGGGAGCGCUUGGGAGGAGCUCGGGGAGCUCUAACUGGGCUCUUCAGGGCGGGGGCACGGCAGGAGUUUUAGGCGCGGGACUGUGUUCUGAGGGGCUCUGGGGCCGCGGGGGAUGAGAGGAGAUGAAUUCCCAGAAGUGGCUGUACCGGGCAUCUGUGGGGUUGGGAGCACUCAGGGGGUCCGGGGCGCUUUCAGGGGCUCCCGAAUGGGCGCUGAGGGGGCACUGAGGGAUCCUGGAGGGUGUGGAGAACACUUAAGGGACAAAGGGGUAGCGGAUCCUGGGGGUUCUGUGGAGCGCAGGGCUUGACGGGCGUUGUAGUCCAGGCUCCAAUGGGGCUCAAUCAGGCCGCGGGGCAUGACGGGAGUUUUGGUUACCGUAGGCACCGCCCCCGAGUCUCCGAUCUCUAGCGCUGAUUGGCUGCGCGGGGUGAUGGGCGGGAGUCUCGGCAAAUGGGAUACGGUGGAGGCGGAAACAGCCCAUUCAACUUAUCCAGUCCCUCCCAGUACAGCCCAGUUCAUCCCCAGUACAGACCAGUACAACCCCAGUACAGCCCAGUUCGUCCCAAGUAGAACCCAGUACGAGCCCAGUGCCCCUCCAGUCCCUCCCAGUACAGCCCAGUCCCUCCCAGUUCCCCCCCCAAUAUCAUCCACAGGAUGCCCCAGUGUCCCCAGUCUUCUCCGCAAUGCCCCCAGUUAUGUCCCAGUCCUCCCCAGUGUCACUCCCAGUAUGUCCCAGUGUCUCCCACAGCGUUCCCAGUGUCCCCAGUAUGUCCCAGUCCUCCCCAGUGUUUCCAAGGACAGUUUAAUUUCUCACAGUGGCCGUGGCAGCCAAACCCAGCAGUGGGGUCAGUGCAGUGCCCAUGGCCACAGCCCCUUGCAGUGCCCAGUGCAGCUUGGGCUGAUGAUCCACCCUCACAGCUGGCCCAGGGCAGCUCUGCAGUGCCUUUGGUGGCACCUGGGGCUGGCACACACCUGAGCAGUGUGUCUGUUUGCACUGGGGAAACUCAGGAGUUUCAGAUUGCUGCAAAAAGUACAAAAAGGGAAAACCCCUCUCAGGCUGAGUGCAGCCAGCUCUGCAAGCACAGCAAGGCCCAAGGCAGUGAGGACAGACAGGAUGGGGCUGGGCAGUGUGGAGCAGGGUUGUCCACAAUGGGUCAGAGCUCCAGGCACAGCUUCUGUGAGCAGGCCAGAGCUGCUGAGGAGAGACCCUGGGUCAAUAUCAAUCACAGAAUGCUGCAAUCACCUCUGCUCUAAAGAGAAAUUUAAUCAAAGACACCCUUUAAAAAAGGAAUGUGCAUUUCUUACAAGUUCUUUGAAAUCUUUCUCCAUAACUGGACUCAGAAAACUUUAUUGACCCUCUCAGGGCUUUGCUGUUGUUUACAUUGUUUGUGUCCUCUGAGUUGGAUG
rnacentral:lncRNA from 1 species